ACGUAGGGUGCGAGCGUUAAUCGGAAUUACUGGGCGUAAAGCGUGCGCAGGCGGUUCGCUAAGACAGGUGUGAAAUCCCCGGGCUUAACCUGGGAAUGGCGCUUGUGACUGGCGAGCUAGAGUACGGCAGAGGGGGGUGGAAUUUCACGUGUAGCGGUGAAAUGCGUAGAGAUGUGAAGGAACACCGGUGGCGAAGGCAGCCCCCUGGGCCGACACUGACACUCA
rnacentral:rRNA from 1 species